GGCGUAGAGAAAAUUGGCUGACGGGUUC
rnacentral:sRNA from 1 species